rnacentral:rRNA from 1 species
CCUACGGGAGGCUGCAGUGAGGAAUAUUGGUCAAUGGCCGGAAGGCUGAACCAGCCAAGCCGCGUGAAGGACGAAGGUGCCAAGCAUUGUAAACUUCGUUUGUCAAGGGAAAAAAUCAGGCACGAGAGCAUGACCGAGGGUACGGGAAGAAAAAGCAUAGGCUAACGCCGUGCCAGCAGCCGCGGUAAUACGGAGGAUGCGAGCGUUAUCCGGAUUUCUUGGGUUUACAGGGUGCGUAGGCGGACUGGUAAGGCAGCGGUAAAAGCCCGGGGCGCAACCCCGGCGAGCCGUUGAAACGGGCUGUCUUGCGUUGUCGAGAGGUAUGUGGAAUGCGCUGUGUAGCGGUGAAAUGCUUAGUUAUUUCGCAGAACUCCGAUUGCGAAGGCAGCAUACCGGCGGCGAUCUGACGCUGAGGCACGAAAGCGUGGGUAUCGAACAGGAUUAGAUACCCGGGUAGUC